UACGAAGGGGGCUAGCGUUGCUCGGAAUCACUGGGCGUAAAGCGCACGUAGGCGGAUUGCUAAGUCAGGGGUGAAAUCCCGGAGCUCAACUCCGGAACUGCCUUUGAUACUGGCGAUCUUGAGUCCGGGAGAGGUGAGUGGAACUGCGAGUGUAGAGGUGAAAUUCGUAGAUAUUCGCAAGAACACCAGUGGCGAAGGCGGCUCACUGGCCCGGUACUGACGCUGAGGUGCGAAAGCAUGGGGAGCAACAGG
rnacentral:rRNA from 1 species